AGAAUAUGACUGACAACACAACAACACAAGGGAACAGCUGGGUCGAAACACAUAAUAUUUUCCUGGUAGAGAAAGAAGCUGAUUAGGCUGUGGAGUACCUAAUUGGGUGUUGGCCUUGAAUGACGGAAAACUCCAGUCAGGACGAGCAGAGCUAGUGAAGAGCAGCAGCGUUACCAGUGCAGGUUCGGGUCCUGGGAGGAGCAGCACAUCCCAAAGGCCAGGAAGUUCAUAUGAAGUUUCUGAACCUCCACUUUGCCCCUUGGGGAGAAGCAGCCCGGAAAUAAGGUGAAAGUGUUCUGAAAGAAAUGAGGAAAUCUCAAAAGGAAAAAAAAAAAUAGCACAUUAUAGAAAUACUGGUAAAUAAAAUAUAACCAACGAGCAGCAUGGGAAGCAGGUUUAACCCACUGCACACCAGUUUUCCUGUAGUGCCAGCCAACUGAAUGUUUAAUGUAGAAUAUCAAGUAUUACGGCUUAUAUGUAUUAGUGACAUUAAAUAUGAUAUAAACAUGAAUAGAUUAAAUUAGAAGA